UCGCCUGUUUAUCAAAAACAUGGUUUCUUGAUGUAAUAUUUAAGAAAUUUAACCUGCCCACUGAAAAAUUUUUAAGGGCCGCAGUAUUUUGACUGUGCAAAGGUAGCAUAAUCAUUAGUCUUUUAAUUGAGGGCUAGAAUGAAUGGUUGGACGAAAUGAAUACUGUUUUAUAUUAAUUUGAUUGAAAUUAGUUUUUAAGUAAAAAAACUUAAAUAUUAUUAAGGGACGAGAAGACCCUAUAGAGUUUAAUAUAUAUAAUAAAUAAUUAAGUUAGAGUUUAAUUUUUAAUUAUUAUGAAAUUUAUUUGAUUGGGGUGAUAGAAAAAUAAAAUAAACUUUUUUUAAUAGUUAAUGAUAUAAUUAGUUAAAUAAUCCAAAUUUAAUGAUUAAAAGAUUAAAUUACCUUAGGGAUAACAGCAUAAUUCUUUUUAAGAGUUCAUAUUAAAAAAAGAGAUUAUGACCUCGAUGUUGGAUUAAGAUUAAUAUUGGGUGCAGAUGUUCAAAUAAUUAGGUCUGUUCGACCUUAAAAAUCUUACAUGAUCUGAGUUCAAACCGGAGA
rnacentral:rRNA from 1 species